CGCGUAGGUGGUAGUGUAAGUCUGGGGUGGAAUCCCAGGGCUUAACCCUGGAACUGCCUUGGAAACUGCAUUACUUGAGUCAGUGAGGGGAGGGUAGAAUUCCUGGUGUAGCGAUGAAAUGCGUAGAUAUCAGGAGGAAGGCCUGUGGCGAAGGCGGCCCUCUGGCGCUGGACUGACACUGAGGCGCGAAAGCGUGGGGAGCAAACAGGAUUAGAUACCCUGGUAGUCCACGCCCUAAACGGUGGGCACUAGGUGUAGGGCUCGUAAGGGUUCUGUGCCGAAGGGAACCAUUAAGUGCCCCGCCUGGGGAGUACGGCCGCAAGGUUGAA
rnacentral:rRNA from 1 species